UACGAAGGGGGCUAGCGUUGCUCGGAAUCACUGGGCGUAAAGGGUGCGUAGGCGGGUCUUUAAGUCAGGGGUGAAAUCCUGGAGCUCAACUCCAGAACUGCCUUUGAUACUGAAGAUCUUGAGUUCGGGAGAGGUGAGUGGAACUGCGAGUGUAGAGGUGAAAUUCGUAGAUAUUCGCAAGAACACCAGUGGCGAAGGCGGCUCACUGGCCCGAUACUGACGCUGAGGCACGAAAGCGUGGGGAGCCAAACAGG
rnacentral:rRNA from 1 species